AGUGAAGCGGCAAAAGCUCAAAUUUGAAAUCUGGCACCUUCGGUGUCCGAGUUGUAAUUUGAAGAUUGUAACCUUGGGGUUGGCUCUUGUCUAUGUUUCUUGGAACAGGACGUCACAGAGGGUGAGAAUCCCGUGCGAUGAGAUGCCCAAUCCUAUGUAAGGUGCUUUCGAAGAGUCGAGUUGUUUGGGAAUGCAGCUCUAAGUGGGUGGUAAAUUCCAUCUAAAGCUAAAUAUUGGCGAGAGACCGAUAGCGAACAAGUACAGUGAUGGAAAGAUGAAAAGAACUUUGAAAAGAGAGUGAAAAAGUACGUGAAAUUGUUGAAAGGGAAGGGUUUGAGAUCAGACUCGAUAUUUUGUGAGCCUUGCCUUCGUGGCGGGGUGACCCGCAGCUUAUCGGGCCAGCAUCGGUUUGGGCGGUAGGAUAAUGGCGUAGGAAUGUGACUUUGCUUCGGUGAAGUGUUAUAGCCUGCGUUGAUGCUGCCUGCCUAGACCGAGGACUGCGAUUUUAUCAAGGAUGCUGGCAUAAUGAUCCCAAACCGCCCGUCUUGAAACACGG
rnacentral:rRNA from 1 species